UUUUUUCUGCAAUUUAAAAAUUUUACAAAUCACGAUGCUUUCGAGUUGCUUGCGAAAUACGGCACAUCUCAUCUAGUCUUCAAUGAUGAUAUUUAGGUACUAUAAUUGAAGCAUUGAACUUUGGCCGACCACACUUUCCUGUUCUUCGGUGUCGACAAAGAAAUCGAUAGAGAAAACUUGCAAGAAGAUAUGACUUGUAGACUCAAAGGUAUUUUCUAUCAAUUUCUUUAGGGAGUGGGGUGAUGAGCCAGGUGAGUGUAGUUAUAGAACAUUUUUCUUGGAGCGUAAAAACAGGGACAUUAUGAAAAGGCAGCACCGUCAAGUUUUAUUCAGUGGAAUUAUCACUGCCAUUGGUAUUAGCUUACAUAAUUUUCCUGAAGGAAUGGGAGUGUUCUUUGGGUCCGUGAAGGGUCUUCAGGUUGGUCUUAACCUUGCAUUAGCCAUUGCUUUGCACAAUAUCCCAAAGGUAUUUUUAUUAUAUUUUACCUUAUAAUAUAAUCUUAAUGUUCUAUUAAUAAAUUCCU